CAGGAUGAACGCUAGCGACAGGCUUAACACAUGCAAGUCGAGGGGCAGCGGGGUUGUAGCAAUACAUAUUGCCGAGCGAACCGGCGCACGGAGUGAGUAACACGUAUGUAACCUGCCCUCUGCAGGGGGAUAAGCGGAAGAAAUUCCGUCUAAUACCGCAUAAUACAAUUUGGAGACAUCUCCGGGUUGUCAAAGGAGUGAUCCGGCAGAGGAUGGACAUGCGGCGCAUUAGCUAGUCGGCGGGGUAACGGCCCACCGAGGCUACGAUGCGUAGGGGUUCUGAGAGGAAGGUCCCCCACACUGGUACUGAGACACGGACCAGACUCCUACGGGAGGCAGCAGUGAGGAAUAUUGGUCAAUGGGCGGAAGCCUGAACCAGCCAAGUCGCGUGAGGGAAGACGGUCCUAUGGAUUGUAAACCUCUUUUGCAGGGGAGCAAGGCGCGGUACGUGUACCGCGAAGGAAAAAACCCUGAGAAAAAGCAUCGGCUAACUCCGUGCCAGCAGCCGCGGUAAUACGGAGGAUGCGAGCGUUAUCCGGAUUUAUUGGGUUUAAAGGGUGCGCAGGCGGACUGUUAAGUCAGCGGUAAAAUGUCGGUGCUCAACACCGGCCGGCCGUUGAAACUGGCAGCCUUGAGUGAGCGAGAAGUAUGCGGAAUGCGUGGUGUAGCGGUGAAAUGCAUAGAUAUCACGCAGAACUCCGAUUGCGAAGGCAGCAUACCGGCGCUCAACUGACGCUCAGGCACGAAAGCGUGGGUAUCGAA
rnacentral:rRNA from 1 species